GCCACAUUUGCACGCGCUUAUUUGACUCGUGUAGGCAUUAAUUUAGCGCCUGCGCACCUGUUUACAUUACACACGUAGCUUUAAAGUUCGCAUUUUUACCACGUGCUUUAAGACCCAAACGGGGUUCCAUAUGACACACAAUGACUCCCCCACACACACAGUAUGAAACAAACUCAAGACGUGUUCUCUGUUCACUUUCAGAUUUAGAUCGCACCGAAUGUUGAACUGCUCUAGUUGUUGGAUCAGCUGUGUCAUACGGAAGGUUUCAAUGAAAUUGAUUUGCGUGUUCUUGGUGUCUCUGCUGGUUAGCUGUGUCAGCGCCCAGACCGUUGCCUGUAACACUGUACAUGUCAACGGUACAACGACCUAUCAACUCUCAAAGCCCCUGCCAGGAUCGCCCUCAACCUGUGUAAGGCAGUGGUUGGAUGCAAAUGGCACUGUUCUCACCUAUGACAAAGACAUUGACACAGAUCGUGUUGUGGUUCAAACCAGUCAAUCUAUUACCAUCAUAGGCUGCAUGGACAGGCUGAAGUACCUAGAGGAAUGCACACAUAAUAAAACGAAUUCAAAUCGGGAAGUAGAGUGCCUUAGUAACUGUACUGUGAAGCCAUUUGACCAGGAACCCAUUAAACCAGAGCACAAUAUAUGUUUUGGUGGUUGGUGUGUACCAGGGAUAACAUUUGUGCUUACCUUUGGAAUAUCAGCUGCUGUCAUCAUCAUCAUCCUGGUUCUCCUUAUUCGCUACAAGAUCCACUUAUACCGAGUGUGCAUGUUUGUUGGACAUCGGGUGAAUGGGAGCACUAGAGAACCCUCUCCUGACCCAGAGAAGCCCCAGAGCCACCCUGUCAACUACUCCGCUGUGAACCAGUAGGCAACAGUGAUCAU
rnacentral:lncRNA from 1 species